AGAGAGCUGGCUGAGCGGUCUAAGCAGCGGCAUCAUAAGCCGCCCUAGGCGGGUUCGACUCCCGCGCUCUCUACCA
rnacentral:tRNA from 1 species